rnacentral:rRNA from 1 species
UGGGGAAUAUUGCACAAUGGGCGCAAGCCUGAUGCAGCCAUGCCGCGUGUAUGAAGAAGGCCUUCGGGUUGUAAAGUACUUUCAGCGAGGAGGAAGGCGUUGUGGUUAAUAACCGCAACGAUUGACGUUACUCGCAGAAGAAGCACCGGCUAACUCCGUGCCAGCAGCCGCGGUAAUACGGAGGGUGCAAGCGUUAAUAGGAAUUACUGGGCGUAAAGCGCACGCAGGCGGUCUGUCAAGUCGGAUGUGAAAUCCCCGGGCUCAACCUGGGAACUGCAUCCGAAACUGGGAGGCUAGAGUCUUGUAGAGGGGGGUAGAAUUCCAGGUGUAGCGGUGAAAUGCGUAGAGAUCUGGAGGAAUACCGGUGGCGAAGGCGGCCCCCUGGACAAAGACUGACGCUCAGGUGCGAAAGCGUGGGGAGCAAACA